GUCCUUGCCGUAAACGAUGUAUACUAGGUGUAGUCGGACUCAACCCUGACUUUGCCGUAGCAAACGCGAUAAGUAUACCGCCUGAGGAGUACACUCGCAAGGGUGAAACUCAAAAGAAUUGACGGGGACCCGCACAAGCAGUGGAGUAUGUGGUUUAAUUCGAUGCAACGCGAAGAACCUUACCCAGGCUUGACAUGCAUAGGACGCUACCAGAGAUGGUAGUUCCCUUCGGGGUCUAUGCACAGGUGCUGCAUGGCUGUCGU
rnacentral:rRNA from 1 species